UACAGAGGGUGCUAGCGUUGCUCGGAAUCACUGGGCGUAAAGCGCACGUAGGCGGACUCUUAAGUCGGUGGUGAAAUCCUGGAGCUCAACUCCAGAACUGCCUUCGAUACUGAGAGUCUUGAGUCCGGGAGAGGUGAGUGGAACUCCGAGUGUAGAGGUGAAAUUCGUAGAUAUUCGGAAGAACACCAGUGGCGAAGGCGGCUCACUGGCCCGGUACUGACGCUGAGGUGCGAAAAGCGUGGGGGAGCAAACAGG
rnacentral:rRNA from 1 species